AUUGAACGCUGGCGGCAGGCCUAACACAUGCAAGUCGAGCGAGCGGCGGACGUUUGAGUAAUGUAUGGGGGCUGCCCGAUAGAGGGGGAUAACUACAGGAAAUGGUGGCUAAUACCGCAUACUAUCGGAUAAACUAUAUGGGAUUAGCUAGUAGGUGGGGUAAAUGCUCACAUAGGCGACGAUCUCUAGCUGGUCUGAGAGGAUGAUUAGCAACACCGGGGCUGAGACACGGACCAGACUCCUACGGAUGCAGCAGUGGGGAAUAUUGCACAAUGGGCGCAAGCCUGCUGCAGCCAUGCCGCGUGGAUGAAGAAGGCCUUAGGGUUGUAAAGUACUUUCAGCGGGGAGGCGUUACCCGCAGAAGAAGCACCGGCUAACUCCGUGCCAGCAGCCGCGGUAAUUC
rnacentral:rRNA from 1 species